rnacentral:tRNA from 1 species
GCUAAUUAAGUGUUUUACUGCACAUUGAUUUUUCACGUCAAAGGAGCACGCAGUGCAUUUAGCU